UACGUAGGGUGCGAGCGUUAAUCGGAAUUACUGGGCGUAAAGUGUGCGCAGGCGGCGCCGCAAGUCGAGUGUGAAAGCCCCGGGCUUAACUUGGGAAUUGCGCUCGAAACUAUGGUGCUGGAGUGUGGCAGAGGAAGGUGGAAUUCCACGUGUAGCGGUGAAAUGCGCAGAUAUCAGGAGGAACACCGGUGGCGAAGGCGGCUUGCUGGGCCUUACCUGACGCUGAGGAGCGAAAGCGUGGGGAGCGAACAGG
rnacentral:rRNA from 1 species